AUGUCUCCCCGCAUUUCUUUCAUGGGAAUAAAACUGGCCUUCAUUCGACGUCGAAUCCCUUCUCCUGGAGCUCCUGCACCACCUCGUUGCCCAUCCAGAACCACAGCUUGCGCGCCUCCUGGUCGAAUUUCUUCGACUGCAGCUGCUUCUGCAUGUUGUCUGAGUCCAUGUUGGCGUCCGCAAACCCCUUGGGAGAGGAAGGUUUCACCAAUCCCUGUCGAUAAAUCGACAAUUCCCAAUGCAACAUGUUCAUGUGGCACAUUGGACGAGAUUUCAAUAGUAGGAGAAGUGUUAUUUUUAGAAGUUUCUUAUGUCUCAGUAGCACAUAUAUCCGGCUAUUUUGUCAGACACUGA
rnacentral:rRNA from 1 species